GGGUGUGAGGGCGAUCUGGCUGUGACACCUGUCACCCCAUUGAGGGCCACAGUUGAUUCAACUGAUCUAGCUGAUGAGGUAGGUGUCCCCUUCCUCCCUUCCCCCUCCACUUGUGUCCUUCCCAAAGCUGCAUGCUCAUUGGAAGAGAAUGACUUCCCUGGAUAAAGAAGGACUGUUAUUUUGUCAAAGGUAUAAUGGUAGCUGUGCUCCUCUGCUAGAAGCUCCAAAAUAGCUCUCAAACUGGUGCGAAAGGUACAUUUUUCUUGUAU
rnacentral:sRNA from 1 species